rnacentral:rRNA from 1 species
ACGGCGAGUGAAGCGGCAACAGCUCAAAUUUGAAAUCUGGCCUCUUUGGGGUCCGAGUUGUAAUUUGCAGAGGGCGCUUUGGUGUUGGCAGCGGUCCAAGUUCCUUGGAACAGGACGUCACAGAGGGUGAGAAUCCCGUACGUGGUCGCUGGCCUUCACCGUGUAAAGCCCCUUCGACGAGUCGAGUUGUUUGGGAAUGCAGCUCUAAAUGGGAGGUAAAUUUCUUCUAAAGCUAAAUACUGGCCAGAGACCGAUAGCGCACAAGUAGAGUGAUCGAAAGAUGAAAAGCACUUUGGAAAGAGAGUCAAACAGCACGUGAAAUUGUUGAAAGGGAAGCGCUUGCAGCCAGACUUGCCUGUAGUUGCUUAUCUAGGCUUUUGCCUGGUGCACUCUUCUAUAGGCAGGCCAGCAUCAGUUUGGGCGGUUGGAUAAAGGUCUCUGUCAUGUACCUCUCUUCGGAGAGAACUUAUAGGGGAGACGACAUGCAACCAGCCCGGACUGAGGUCCGCGCAUCUGCUAGGAUGCUGGCGUAAUGGCUGUAAGCGGCCCGUCUUGAAACACGGACCAAGGAGUCUAACAUCUAUGCGAGUGUUUGGGUGUCAAGCCCGAACGCGUAAUGAAAGUGAACGGAGGUGGGAACCCUUUGGGUGCACCAUCGACCGAUCCUGAUGUCUUCGGAUGGAUUUGAGUAAGAGCAUAGCUGUUGGGACCCGAAAGAUGGUGAACUAUGCUUGAAUAGGGUGAAGCCAGAGGAAACUCUGGUGGAGGCUCGCAGCGGUUCUGACGUGCAAAUCGAUCGUCAAAUUUGGGCAUAGGGGCG